rnacentral:lncRNA from 1 species
CCCUUCAGUUGCAUGUAUUUUACCCGGGUAACUUGUGUGUAUGAAUUCUUGCACAUACUUUACCCCGAUAACAUAAGUGCAUUAAUUUUCACGUGCUUGAAUCUGCAUGGGCUGAAUGGGAACUAACUUCAACACUCCUCCUUAGUUUCCAUGCUUGUAACACCUAGCUGCUUUCUCAGUUUUAUAAACCUUGACACACCAAGGGCCUUUGUGAAGAUAUUAGCAACUUGUUCCUCUGAAUUGCAAUGAAUCAGCUCCACCUUUCGAGCUUGUUCCAUCUCCCUUAUCACAUGUAACUUGAUGCUGAAGUGCUUCGUUCUGCCAUGGAAAACAAGAUUCUUUGCAAUUGCAACAGCAGACUUGUUGUCACAAAAGAUCUCUGUUGCCUCCCUUUGAUAUAGGUUAAGAUCAGCUAGAAUUUUUCUUAGCCAAAUGGCUUGGUUCACAGCAUUUGCAGCUGCAGCAUAUUCAGCUUCUGCUGUUGAUUGAGCCACCAUCGAUUGUUUCCUUGAGCUCCAACAAAACAUGGUUGAGCCAAGGGUAAAAGCAUAUCCAGAGGUGCUUUUCAUAUCAUCACUUGAACCAGCCCAGUCACUAUCAGUAUAGCCUUUCAACUUCAAGGUUUCAGCUUUGUUGAAUAACACACCAUAGUCAAGAGUGCUUUUGAUGUACCUUAGCACUCUGUUUGCUGCUUGAAAGUGCUGGACAUUACAGCAAUGCAUAAAUCUUGAUAACAUACUUACAGCAAACAAGAUAUCUGGCCUAGUUGCUGUCAAAUAUAACAAGCAGCCAACUAGGCUCCUGUAAGUAGACUCAUUGACUGGUUCAUGAUCUCCUUGGCUUGACAGCUUCAUUCCAACAGCAAUAGGAGUGCUUGUUGGCUUACAAUUCUCCAUCGAGAACUUGGACAAAACCUUCAAGGCAAAUGUUCUCUGUCCCAAGAAGAUUUUUCCUUCUAUUUGGCGCACCUCCAUUCCCAAAAAGUAUUUCAUUAGCCCCAAGUCAGACAUUUCAAACAUGUUCAUCAUUUUGGUUUUGAAUUCAGCCAACAUAUUUUGAUCUCCUCCAGUCACCAAAAGGUCAUCGACAUAGAGGGAUACAAUAAGCUGUAUUUCAGCUUCAUUCUUCUUGACAUAUAGUGUUGGCUCAUUAACACUUCUGUUAAAUCCCAAACUGACCAAGUAGCUGUCAAUUCGAGCAUACCAGGCUCUAGGAGCCUGUUUCAGGCCAUAUAAUGCCUUCUUAAGCCUGUACACCAUUUGUUCUUUGCCAGACACAACAAAUCCUUGUGGUUGAUCAAUGUAGAUCUCUUCUUCAAGGAAGCCAUUAAGAAAUGCAGACUUCACAUCAAGCUGGUAGAUUUUCCACUGCAUCUAAGCUGCCAAGGCAAUCAGCAAUCUAAUGGUAUCUAGCCUGGCCACUGGUGCAAAUGUUUCCAGGUAGUCCAGACCAUAUUUUUGGCUGAAUCCUUUGACUACAAGCCUGGCCUUCAGUUUGUUCAAGCUCCCAUAAGCAUUUUGCUUGGCUCGAUAGACCCACUUUACUCCAAUAACCUUCCCCUUGGCUGGUCUAUGAACCAAUUCCCAUGUCUGGUUCUUCUCAAUCAUGGCAAUUUCAUCAACCAUCGCCUGUUUUCAGCCUUCAUCAGCUUCAACUUCUUCAAAACUGCAUGGCUCCACUAUGGCAACUUGAGCCCUUUCAUAAAUUUCAGCCAAAGGUCUAGUGCCUCUGACUGGCAUGUCAUCAAUGUCCAUAUCAGGACUAUUUUCUUCAGGCUUUGUUUGAUCAACCACAAGUUCUUCAGAGACAGCUUCAGGUUCAUUCUUGUCCCAAUUCCAACAAGCAUUCUCAUCAAACACUACAUCUCUGCUCACUUGGAUUUUGUUGGUUAAAGGAUCCAGGAUCCUAUAAUCCUUUUUUACCAUACUAUACCCGGUUAAAAUACCAGGAACAGCCCUUUUGGACAACUUGUCCCUCUUAACAGCUGGUACUUGGCUGUAACAUAGGCAACCAAAGACUUUCAUAUGAGCCAAUGAUGGCUUGAACCCGAACCAGGCUUCAAAAGGUGUCUUGUGAGCAAGUGCUUUGGUUGGAAGCCUAUUCUGAAUGUAGACAGCAGUGUUGACAGCUUCAGCCCACAUGGUCUUGGGCAAAUUCUUCUCAAACAAUAAACAUCUGGCCAUAUCCAUCAAUCUCCUGUUUUUCCUUUCACUAACCCCAUUUUGUUGGGGUGUGUAGACAUUGGUUAGCUGGUGUUUGAUGCCAGCGUCUUUGCACAAAGCUUGGAACUGAGCUGAAGUGUAUUCAGUUCUAUUAUCUGACCUAAUGGUCUUUAUCUUGCAGCCUACUUCUGUUUCUACUGCAGCUUUGAACUUCAUAAACACUUGAGCAACCUUAGACUUAUGCUUCAAAAAAUAAACCGAGCAGUAUCUGGUAAAAUCAUCAAUGAAGAGAAUAAAGUACCUUUUGCCACUAAGUGACUCAGUUCUCAUGGGGCCACAAACAUCAGUGUGCACUAGUUCCAGCUUGCUUGAUGCUCUCCAGGUGGUGUUUGCAGGAAAUGGAAGCCUAGUUUACUUUCCCAUCUGACAGACUUCACAAACAUCUUCAUUCUGAACUGUCUUGGUGAAGUUUUCAACCAUUUCCUUACUAACCAUCCGAGCCAUAGACUUAAAGUUAGCAUGCCCAAGCCUUUGGUGCCAAAGCUUGGAGUCUUCAGAAGAAACAGCAUAGGCAUUAUCAAAGUCUUUAUUCCAGUCCACAACAAAGCUCUUUUCUGUCAUGGCUACUGACAUGAGCAUGGAUCCACUUGGAUCACUAAUCUGACAUUCAUUUCCUUUGAACACCACUUUAUAGCCUUUUUCAACUAACUGAGCUAUACUUAACAGGUUUCUGUCAAUUUCAGGAACUAACAAAACAUUUGAAAUGAUUUUGUUACCUGUUGGAGUGUGAAUAACCACAUCUCCCUUUCCUUCUGCCUUGAUAAAGUGGCCAUUGCCAACUUUAACUUGUGUUUUACAACUUCUGUCUAAGGACUUGAAAAUAGCUGCAUCUGGUGACAUAUGGUUGGUGCAGCCAUUGUCAAGAAGCCAACCAUUUGAGUCUUUCUUCUGAGCAGCUGAGCAGGAGACUGCAAAGACCUGCUCCUUAUUAUCACUGCCUUCUUCAGCUACCCGAGCUUCAGCCUUGUGUUGUUGGUUUUGGCCAGGUCUGCCUUUUUCUUUGCAGACCCUUUCAACAUGGCCUUUCUUUUUGCAGUGUUGACACACAGCAUCUGGUCUGAACCAGCAUCUAGCCUCUGGAUGACCAGGUCUUUUGCAAAAUCUGCAGAGUCGAUCUCCUCCUCUUGCAGCAUCAGGCUUAGGCCUGUUUUUCCAGUUCUUCUUGCCCUUAUAGGCAGUGGUACUUGAGGUUGCUUUAGCUUUGGCUUGAAAAGCUCCCUUCUGGUGCUCCUCCAUUCUACUGGCUCUUCUUUGUUCUUGAGCAUAAAGAGCAUUAAUGAGCUCUGUUAGAGAGAUGGUUGCCAGGUCUCUCGAAUCCUCCAAGGAUGAGAUCUUUGCCUCAUAUCUUUCAGGCAAUGUUGAGAGCACCUUCUCCACAAUUCUUGCCUCAUUGAACUGUUCUCCUAGCAAUCUUAUGCUGUUGACCACAGCCAUUAUCCUGUCUGAGUACUGCUUCACUGUCUCUUCUUCCUUCAUCUUGAGAUUUUCAAAAUCUCUUCUCAAGUUUAGUAACUGCUGCUGCCUAGUUCUUUCAGUGCCUUGGAACUCCUCCUUGAGCCAAGCCUGCUUGGGAGUCUCACAAGCCAUGAUUCUAGUGAAGAUAACAUCAGAAACACAGUUCUGAAUGCAUGACAUGGCCUUGUGCCUUUUGGUCCUCUCAUCUGCAUGUUGUCUGAUUUGAGCCACUGUUGGGUUGGCUCUGAGUGGAGCUGGCUCAGCAUCUGUGUUGACAACUUCCCACAGAUCGAAGGCCUGCAGGUAAGUCCUCAUCUUAACCUACCAUAUGUGGAACCCUUCACCAUUAAAGACUGGUGGUGCAGCAGGAGAAAAGCCUGAUGAAGCCAUUUAAUUUUCAACAACAGGUCCUCUAAGAUGAAAGCUCUUGAUACCAAUUGUUGGGUUUUUGACACACUUUAACCGGGUAAAGUAAGAAUUUCAAACAGAGCACCGGCAGUAACGUAUUAUACCCGGAUAAAAUAUGAAGGAAAAAUGCUUGAAGUUCAAGCUUUUAGCUACUGUCAAGAAUGAAGAACAGAACUUAGAAGUUUUUAGAAGGCAAAGAACGAUGGAGCAUAUGGAAGAAAAUCUGAUAAUUUUCAUUCAUUGAAACAUUGGCUUAAAGCCAUUACAUAUACCAGUCAUUUGGCUGGUCAAAAGAUUAACAAAUCCUUUACCUAAACACUACCUAACUCCACUAAUUACAUAGGGACUAGGUGAUUUUGCUUGCAAACAUAAACAAAGCUGGUGAUCAGCUCUAUCACCAUCAAAUUCCAUCAAACAUAAACUAAACUAAGUUCAAAAUGAACUAGAUUACAAAAGCAUAGUUAAACGGUAACAAAAUGUAACUGAGACGGAAAAGAAGCAUCAACCCCUUCAGUUGCAUGUAUUUUACCCGGGUAACUUGUGUGUAUGAAUUCUUGCACAUACUUUACCCGGAUAACAUAAGUGCAUUAAUUUUCACGUGCUUGAAUCUGCAUGGGCUGAAUGGGAACUAACUUCAACACAAGUCAGCAAGCUUGGCCCUGUUUUGGCUAUCUUCAUGAAUACCCAGCUUGAUGUUCUUGGAGAAAGCGUCGUAGAACUU